GCCCCGGUAACUCAGCCAGGUAGAGUGCCUGCCUCGUAAGCAGGUUGCCGUGGGUUCAAACCCCACCCGGGGCU
rnacentral:tRNA from 1 species